GAGGGGAAACGACAUCGAAAGCUUGCUUUUGAUGGGCGUCGACCGGCGCACGGGUGAGUAACGCGUAUCCAACCUGCCCAUCACUUGGGGAUAACCUUGCGAAAGUAAGACUAAUACCCAAUGAUAUCUCUAGAAGACAUCUGAAAGAGAUUAAAGAUUUAUCGGUGAUGGAUGGGGAUGCGUCUGAUUAGCUUGUUGGCGGGGUAACGGCCCACCAAGGCGACGAUCAGUAGGGGUUCUGAGAGGAAGGUCCCCCACAUUGGAACUGAGACACGGUCCAAACUCCUACGGGAGGCAGCAGUGAGGAAUAUUGGUCAAUGGGCGAGAGCCUGAACCAGCCAAGUAGCGUGCAGGAUGACGGCCCUAUGGGUUGUAAACUGCUUUUAUAAGGGAAUAAAGUGAGUCUCGUGAGACUUUUUGCAUGUACCUUAUGAAUAAGGACCGGCUAAUUCCGUGCCAGCAGCCGCGGUAAUACGGAAGGUCCGGGCGUUAUCCGGAUUUAUUGGGUUUAAAGGGAGCGUAGGCCGGAGAUUAAGCGUGUUGUGAAAUGUAGACGCUCAACGUCUGCACUGCAGCGCGAACUGGUUUCCUUGAGUACGCACAAAGUGGGCGGAAUUCGUGGUGUAGCGGUGAAAUGCUUAGAUAUCACGAAGAACUCCGAUUGCGAAGGCAGCUCACUGGAGCGCAACUGACGCUGAAGCUCGAAAGUGCGGGUAUCGAACAGGAUUAGAUACCCUGGUAGUCCGCACGGUAAACGAUGGAUGCCCGCUGUUGGUCUGAAUAGGUCAGCGGCC
rnacentral:rRNA from 1 species